ensembl:snoRNA Gm24451 small nucleolar RNA SNORA51
GGCCUCCUUGUGCUUACCACAGGCUGUGUUCUUAACACUGACUGUAUAGAAAGAGGAGGCAGAGUAAACCUACCCCAUGUACACCUCAGCCUAGGCCAUUGUGCCUGGUCUGAAUUGUGAAUGGGGAGACAUGG